UUGACCAACGGAGGCUGCGCGCUGCCGGUGAACGACAAUGGACGCUUUUUCGGUUUUUUCAUGCUUGAAAGUUCAGGAGAGUCCUUGCCGCGCUACCGGACCGGUAUCAGCACGCAUAAUCGCUUGGCAUUCUCUUUCUCUCUUUGCCAAAGGGGCGAGAAUGAACAUUCUGAAGUUCUCAAGGGAAGAAAAGGAAAGAAGAAGAAGAAAAAGAAAAGAAGAAAAAAAAGUAUGGGGAGAGGGAGUGAAAGAACUUGAAGUUAUGGCGGCGCCGUGCAAUGACAUCAGUAAGCUAUAACAGGUUUUUUUCUUUCGGUCUGUCUCGAAGGGCAGUGAGUACCGACGGUCAUUAACGUUAAAGGGAAAGGUCAAA
rnacentral:lncRNA from 1 species